rnacentral:rRNA from 1 species
UAGGGAAUCUUCGGCAAUGGACGAAAGUCUGACCGAGCAACGCCGCGUGAGUGAAGAAGGUUUUCGGAUCGUAAAACUCUGUUGUUAGAGAAGAACAAGGACGUUAGUAACUGAACGUCCCGUGACGGUAUCUAACCAGAAAGCCACGGCUAACUACGUGCCAGCAGCCGCGGUAAUACGUAGGUGGCAAGCGUUGUCCGGAUUUAUUGGGCGUAAAGCGAGCGCAGGCGGUUUCUUAAGUCUGAUGUGAAAGCCCCCGGCUCAACCGGGGAGGGUCAUUGGAAACUGGGAGACUUGAGUGCAGAAGAGGAGAGUGGAAUUCCAUGUGUAGCGGUGAAAUGCGUAGAUAUAUGGAGGAACACCAGUGGCGAAGGCGGCUCUCUGGUCUGUAACUGACGCUGAGGCUCGAAAGCGUGGGGAGCAAACAGG